GCUGGCGGCGUGCUUAACACAUGCAAGUCGAGUGCGCGUACCGUAGCAAUACGGUAUGGCGCACGGCGCACGGGUGCGUAACACGUGGGCAAUCUGCCCUUCGAUGGGGAAUAACUCCGGGAAACCGAAGCUAAUUCCGCAUAACAUUCCUUGGACUUCGGUUCGAGGACUCAAAGCCGUAAGGCGUCGAAGGAGGAGCCCGCGCCCGAUUAGCUAGUUGGUGAGGUAAUGGCUCACCAAGGCAAUGAUCGGUAGCUGGUCUGAGAGGAUGGCCAGCCACACUGGAACUGAGACACGGUCCAGACUCCUACGGGAGGCAGCAGUGGGGAAUCUUGCACAAUGGGCGAAAGCCUGAUGCAGCGACGCCGCGUGGGGGAUGAAGCAUCUCGGUGUGUAAACCCCUUUCGACCCGGAAGAAUGCCUCGCAAGAGGACUGACGGUACGGGUAUAAGAAGCCCCGGCUAACUACGUGCCAGCAGCCGCGGUAAGACGUAGGGGGCCAGCGUUGUUCGGAAUUACU
rnacentral:rRNA from 1 species